rnacentral:lncRNA from 1 species
UAAAACUCAUUCUUCUUCAGCUCCAUUACCUCCAUUUUGGCCUCUUCUUUCUCUGCCGGUGGCGCAGUUUCCUCUGGCUUUGCCGCCUCUUUGUCCCCGCCUUCUUCCUUCUUCUCUUUUCCAUCUUCGGGUGCUUCUGGAGCUGCUGGUUCUCCGGCUUUCUUUCCGUCCUUGUCACCACCCUCAUCACCUUUUUUCUCUUCUUUAGCUUCCUCAUUUACCUUCACAUCUUCCUUCUUUUUCUCAGGCUCUUGCUUCACAACAAUUGCAUGCUUUCCGGUUUUUCUGUACACAUGUUCAACCAAUUUCAAGGGGUCGAAUACUCCUUUAACCGUCACUUGCGAGCCUUUGAGAUCCGGGUCUGCAUUCUCAAC